CACAGUUUGAGAUAAUUUUGACCCGUAGGCCUUCCACCCAUUUCAAUGCGGAUCUGCGCUUUGCUGGAAGAAAAAACCCAUGUCGGACCUCGCAACAGUAACUAAGGGGUGCGGCUUGACAAUGUCUCUAUUAUGAUGUCACAAAGCAUGCAGUUAAAAAAUAGAGUCUUGUGUAUUUUGGUUCAGUCAUCGAUAUGGAUGUGUAUCAAGAAGUAGGUGUACCGGAGUUUGGUGCUCCUUGGCCCGCCAUGACGAUGCCCGAACAAGGAGUGAUUGGCCAAUUUACCAUUUUCUUCGCGCUUUUUCUUGGAGGACUAAAGGAUUUUCUCUUCUCUCUAGAAGAGGAAUGGUUUGGAGCAACCCAUCCUGGAGUGGGAUGGCAGCUCACUCUCCCUGCUGCCCUGAUUGUUCUUGGUGUGAUAUUACUAUGGAGGACCGUCCUUGCGAUCAAAAGCAGGCUACGUCUAUUGACUGAGACACAGCUAAACGUGAAACUCGCCCAGCUAUCGAAAAAGAAAUGCGACAUAAUGAUUAAAUUGUCUGAAAUGGAGACACUGGUACGUUUCAGAAGAUAA
rnacentral:lncRNA from 13 species